AGGGCUGCAAGGAAAUCUGGCGCGGUUCAAUACCUCGUCUAGCCUGGAUUCCAGUAUCUUUUUUUUUUUUUAAACUGACAAAUGCAUUUCUCCACCGGGACAGGAUGCUCUGUUGGCUGGAAGUUCCAUUUCUACAGCAAGAAUCCUAUCUGGAAACACAGAAGUUGUCCUCUAGCCACAGCAGCUCGAACUUUUUUGAUUGUUGUUGCUGCUUUCUCCCAUCACCCCCACCCCUUUUUGACAAAGAUCCAACUGUAAAAAGUCUUACGUAACAGUUCAGGACUACUUCGGUUCUUUUACAGGAUUCCACAAAUCUUCACUUCUGGACAAUUCAGAAGAGGACAGAGAAAUCGAGAGAUGGGGAAGACGGGAGAAAGAGACAUCUGCAGACCUGCUUCACCCCCUGCAGCUGGGGAGCUGGGGGCUCGAACCAAGAUCCUUAUGCUGGUCCUUGUGUUUUCCGGC